GCCGGGAUAGCUCAGUCGGUAGAGCAACGGACUGAAAAUCCGUGUGUCCCUGGUUCAAAUCCUGGUCCCGGCACCA
rnacentral:tRNA from 5 species